UGAUAGAGGUUCCUGGAUGCCACUGGUU
rnacentral:piRNA from 1 species